rnacentral:lncRNA from 1 species
CAUUAUCAAAAUUUAUAAAUUUUCACUCUUAACUCUAUUUUCCCUUUACCCUAAAAUUUCAUUUAUUGAAAUAAGUUUUGACACUGCCAGAACAGUUACAUUUUAUCUAAAAACGCCCCUAAGCAAUAUUAAUUUACUGAAAUUAUUUUUCAGAAAUCUAAUUAAACUUUUUAAGGUAAAAUUUUAUAAAAUUUACCUGAACUAUGAAUUGUUUUGAAUUGAUUAUUCGAACUCUCAAAAUUUUAAUUUUAAUAUCUAACCUUUCAAUUUGUUUGAUUUGAACUAAUCAGUGACAUUUUUACUUCAAAACAUAAACUAAUUGCUUACUCCCGUAAAAAAAAAUUGACUGAUCACUCAAAUCAAACAAAUUAAAAAAUUGGAUUGUAAAAUCAAAAUAUUUGAAAGAUCAGAUAGUCAAAUCAAGAUAAACCAUAAUUGAGGUGAGUUUUAUAAGUUUUUAAUUACCAACUUUUAAUCACCACCAAUUAGAACCAUGAAGCAAAACUAAGGGGGAAAAGCCCCCAAAAAA